GGCGGCGUGCCUAAUACAUGCAAGUCGCGCGGACCUCUUCGGAGGUUAGCGGCGGACGGGUGAGUAACACGUGGGCAACCUGCCUGUAAGACUGGGAUAACUCCGGGAAACCGGAGCUAAUACCGGAUAGUAUCUUGAACCGCAUGGUUCAAGUUGGAAAGACGGUUUCGGCUGUCACUUACAGAUGGGCCCGCGGCGCAUUAGCUAGUUGGUGAGGUAAUGGCUCACCAAGGCAACGAUGCGUAGCCGACCUGAGAGGGUGAUCGGCCACACUGGGACUGAGACACGGCCCAGACUCCUACGGGAGGCAGCAGUUGGGAAUCUUCCGCAAUGGACGAAAGUCUGACGGAGCAACGCCGCGUGAGUGAUGAAGGUUUUCGGAUCGUAAAACUCUGUUGUUAGGGAAGAACAAGUGCGAGAGUAACUGCUCGCACCUUGACGGUACCUAACCAGAAAGCCACGGCUAACUACGUGCCAGCAGCCGCGGUAAUACGUAGGUGGCAAGCGUUGUCCGGAAUUAUUGGGCGUAAAGCGCGCGCAGGCGGUUUCUUAAGUCUGAUGUGAAAGCCCCCGGCUCAACCGGGGAGGGUCAUUGGAAACUGGGAAACUUGAGUGCAGAAGAGGAGAGUGGAAUUCCACGUGUAGCGGUGAAAUGCGUAGAGAUGUGGAGGAACACCAGUGGCGAAGGCGACUCUCUGGUCUGUAACUGACGCUGAGGCGCGAAAGCGUGGGGAGCGAACAGGAUUAGAUACCCUGGUAGUCCACGCCGUAAACGAUGAGUGCUAAGUGUUAGAGGGUUUCCGCCCUUUAGUGCUGCAGCUAACGCAUUAAGCACUCCGCCUGGGGAGUACGGUCGCAAGACUGAAACUCAAAGGAAUUGACGGGGGCCCGCACAAGCGGUGGAGCAUGUGGUUUAAUUCGAAGCAACGCGAAGAACCUUACCAGGUCUUGACAUCCUUUGCCACUUCUAGAGAUAGAAGGUUCCCCUUCGGGGGACAAAGUGACAGGUGGUGCAUGGUUGUCGUCAGCUCGUGUCGUGAG
rnacentral:rRNA from 1 species